UGAAUUAGGAAGCCACAGUCUACACUAAC
rnacentral:piRNA from 1 species